rnacentral:rRNA from 1 species
UGCGCAGGCGGUUUAUCAAGAAAGGUGUGAAAUCCCCGGGCUCAACCUGGGAAUGGCACUUUUAACUGAUAGGCUAGAGUAUGUCAGAGGGGGUAGAAUUCCACGUGUAGCAGUGAAAUGCGUAGAGAUGUGGAGGAAUACCGAUGGCGAAGGCAGCCCCCUGGGAUAAUACUGACGCUCAUGCACGAAAGCGUGGGAGCAAACA